rnacentral:lncRNA from 1 species
UGAAGAGGCAGCUCCCCCAUUUACGAAUCCAAAAGGGCAAAAGGAAAUCCUAUAUAAUAUCUUCUCUGCCUUUUUUUAAAGAAAACAAAAACAGAACUGGCCAGACGAUAUAUUUUAAAAAGCCUACAAAAGGCUAUUCUUCUGCCACCAGCCCUAAAGGCAACAGGAAAUCCUAUACAAGCAAGCCCCAUAUGAGCUGAAAAUGAGGCUUUCCCUUUAUGUCCUGCAAGCACACAUCCUGAAAAUGACCUUAUUCUGGCAGUGGCAUCAGCAGACAAAAACGAGUUUGGAGUAGAAGUUGACGUGGUGCUUUUUUCGCUAGUGAGAAACUCAGGAAGCAACUGCGGAGAUGAGAAUUAGUAGAAAUCUCGUUGAAGGCUGUGAAAAGAUGGGUUUGCCAUUUGUCAGAAAGGGUAAAGACAAUCGAAGAGGUCCUGCUGGAAGACUUUUACACCUUUUGAGAACUGUGCAGCCCAAUCUGAGGUCAUUUCAACAAACUGCUAUUUUUAAAAAGGGGACAGAAGUUGCUGUGGAGGGGAAAAGGCCUUUAACUGAGCCCGCAAGAACAUCUGCAUUUUAUGGAAGCUUACAAAGGGAGGAUUGGCUACACAUCUGCUGGUUUUUCUUGUUCCAUCUAUGACACUAUCUAUACAUGUACAGUGGGAUUUAAGAUGGCAUUUGCAAAGAAGAGGCAGGUUAUAACGAAAUUGAUUAACUGCUGAGUCAUUUUACAUAAUGAACAACACUAUCAGGGGAAAACAAUUUAGCUCUCUUUCCAAUAAUUGGAGCACAAUAACAGAUUUAAGAACAAGUACGAUCCCGAGCCAACGCUAUCUUAGUGUCUGGGACAAACACAGGGGUUCUUAAGCAUGAGGUGAUGGGCUCAAACUCUCUGCAGGGUCAGAGCUAUUGCCUGACCAUCCCUGGAUCCUCACUGUGGAAGUCACAGCAUCCUAUCCCUGAUUUCCACAAAUUUAUCAGCUCUUGACUUUCACUUUUUGUCACUGUUGACCAUGAAAAUAUUCACAAAGUGUAAUAGUGCUUCCCCUCAUAUUAACAUAUUAAGAACAGUUUGAUAUGAAUUGUCACUGAGAGGUGUG